AGAUACACGACGGCCCCGUAACACGGGCCGCCCCCGCCAGAGGACCCCCUAACUCUGUUUCUAUAAUGUUUCUUCUGAGUAAACAAGCAAAUAAAUUAAAACUUUCAACAACGGAUCUCUUGGCUCUGGCAUCGAUGAAGAACGCAGCGAAAUGCGAUAAGUAAUGUGAAUUGCAGAAUUCACGUGAAUCAUCGAAUCUUUGAACGCAACAUUGCGCCCGCCAGUAUUCUGGCGGGCAUGCCUGUUCGAGCGUCAUUACAACCCUCAGGCCCCCGGGCCUGGCGUUGGGGAUCGGCGGAAGCCCCCUGCGUGGCACAACGCCGUCCCCCAAAUACAGUGGCGGUCCCGCCGCAGCUUCCAUUGCGUAGUACGCUAACACCUCGCAACUGGAGAGCGGCAGCGGCCACGCCGUAAAACACCCAACUUUCUGAAUGUUGACCUCGAAUCAGGUAGGAAAUACCCGCUGAACUUAAGCCCAUAUCAAUAAGCGGAGGAA
rnacentral:misc_RNA from 1 species